AAAAAAAAAAGAACUUAUCAAAAAAAAAGAGAGAAAACUCUGUAAGGGUUGUCUCCUAAGCCCAUCAAAAGGAGUGAAACUGUAAAAGGGUGGUUGGUCUUCUCCUAUUGAAGGAAGGCCUCUAGUGGACGUCGGUGACCUCAUCGGAGGAGGAAGCCAAAAGUGGAUGUAGGUCAAGAUUGACCGAACCACUCUAAAUCUCGGUUUGCAUUUACUUUGAGCAUCUUAUCUUUACUGCAAACCUCCUCAGUAGCUUACUGUCUUCUGC
rnacentral:lncRNA from 1 species